rnacentral:tRNA from 1 species
AAUAUUAGUUGUGUAGCAUUUUAAAUUUUGAGUUUAAAGGAAUAGUUUUAUAGUCUAUAAUAUUAA